rnacentral:rRNA from 1 species
AAUAACUAAUGAUUCUGUGAGUAGUGGCGAGCGAAAGCGGAUGAUGGUUAAACCGUGUGCGUGUGAUACUCGGCAGGGGUUGCGUGUGCGGGGUUGUGGGGCUGUUCUGUUCCUCUUCUGCCGGAGAGGGGGCGCGUGUGCUGGCCGGUAGCUGAAUCGUCUGGGAAGGCGUGGCGUAGUGGGUGAUACCCCCGUAGGCGGAACUGGUUGGUGCGUGUCU